GGUGUAGUGGUUAAGAGCGGUAGUCUCGUAAUAUGGUGAACCGGGUUCGCUUCCCCGCUCCUCCACAUGCAGCUGCUGGGCUAGUCACCUUGGGCUAGUCACACUUCUCUGAAGUCUCUCAGCCCCACUCACCUCACAGAGUGUUUGUUGUGGGGGAGGAAGGGAAAGGAGAAUGUUAGCCGCUUUGAGACUUCUUAAAGGAAGUGAAAGGAGGGAUAUCAAAUCCAAACUCUUCUUCUCUUCUUCUUCUUCUUCUUCUUCUUCUUCUUCUUCUUCUUCUUCUUCUUCUUCUCCUUCUCCAGGAAGUCACUGUAGGGACCUUCAGAUGAUACCACCCAUGUAUACAAUCCCACCACACCAACCUGCUUUGUCCUGCAACCCCUCUUACAAAUUCUUUAAAUGCAGAGGCAUCUCAUCUUUCUGUGGUGGCUUGUGGUGGGAAUAUUGGAGUGACAACUUGGGCCUUGGAUACCUUACUGAACCUCGAUGUGAAGAACCUGUGGACCUUCAGACAUCAAUGUAGUCCAUCAUAAGCAAUGGUCAGGGAAGAUGAGGGUUUUCCUUGUAACUUCUGGAAGCAUAGGUGCCAUCCAUGAGGGGUUGUGAGGGCCCAGGCACUCACAAAUUUUCAAUGAAGGAGACACGCACCCCAGUUCUAUGUGGCAGCACAUGCACACCAUGGGGCAUGCUCGUAUCAUGUGCACUCGCCACGGGGCGUCCACACAACACAUUGGCACACCCCUGUGACGGGCGUGAGUGAUGUCAACAUGUCACAGGGAGUGCCAACAUCUCACAUACACAUUCCACAGUGAUGUUCUCAUGCCCCGGGCCCCCUCUGUUGCAGGGGCAAGGCAGCGCACCUGUCUGGAAGGUCCCAGGUUCUCCACCUUGCCUUAACUGUUCUCUUACAAUCUGGUGAAGCAGCAGUUACUGCUCAAUAGAUCAUGACUUAAUCCUCGAGAAGUCUCUCCAGACCUUGCUUAAGUCCUUCAUGUGGAACACAGAGGAGAGGACAACAAGCAGGAAGAGGAAGGUGUUUAUGGUCCCAUGAUGACGAUCACAUUACUGGAAAUCAUUAUAUCAGUUCACGCUUCAUCGGAGUCUCCUUUAUCGGACCAUCAUGCCUUUUCUCAAGUGACUAUUAAAAUUUUUAUAGUAACUCUUAAGCAGAAAAUGAUUUUUAUUUUAUUUUUUGGUAGUCAUUCUGAACCUUUUCUUUAAAAGUACUGAAAAUACAACUCUUAAAUAUACAAAGAGCCCAUGAAUGUGUUUUAUGGUGCAGCUAUAUUUAGUUUACCUGUUCAUUUUAUCAAAUGCAUGGAUUCAAGUAGCUUGAUGCAUGAUUUCUCAACUUCAGCCGGAUGAGUCCCAAAUGACUCGGCAUCCAGAGGUUGUCCAGCAACUCAAUUCAAAAGUUAUAUUUUAAUUAUUAUUUUUUAUUAAAUUUGUGUACCGCCCUAUACCCACGGAUUUCCCUGUAUUGGGAAGUUGUUGUUCUGUAGCCCAGAGUGGCUACAGAAACCCAGCCAGAUGGGUGGGAUACUACUACUACUACUGCUGCUGCUGCUAUUUCAGGACCCUCAUACCUACGGGACCACCUCUCCCGGUAUGCCCAUGGAGGAAACUGCAAGUAAUCCAGAAUGCGGCAGCCAGACUGGUGACUGGGAGUGGCUGCCGAGAACAAAUAACACCAGUCCUGAAAAACCUAGUACGUUUCCUAGCACAAUUCAAAGUGUUGGUGCUGACCUUUAAAGCCCUAAAAGGCCUUAGCCCAGUAUACCUGAAGGAGCGUCUCCACCCCCAUCGUUUAGCCUGGACACUGAGGUCCAGCUCUGAGGGCCUUCUGGCAGUUUCCUCAUUGUGAGAAGUGAGGUUACAGGGAACAAGGCAGAGGGCCUUCUCAGUAGUGGCACCUGCCCUAUGGAACACUCUCCCAUCAGAUGUCAAGGAAAUAAACAACUAUCUGACUUUUUAUAAGAUAUCUGAAGGCAACCCUGUAUAGGGAAGUUUUUAAUGUCUGAUAUUUUAUCAUGUUUUUAAUAUUCUGUUGGGAGUUGCCCAGAGUGGCUGGGGGAAACCCAAUCAGAUGGGUGGGGUAUAAAUAAUAGAUGAUGAUGAUGAUGAUGAUGAUGAUGACAAACCAUUGGCCCACCUAGUUCUGUAUCUUCUACACUGACUGGCAGUGACUCUCCAGGCUUUCAUGCAAAGCAGAUUUUCCAUCACAGAACUAUGUCCCCCUCCAAAUUGCUGUGCUUAAGAACUGAACAGAUUUUAUUUUAAAAGUCUCAUUUUCAGCACUUCUGUUGGAAGUUCUUAUUUUACUGCAUCCCGGUUAAUUACUUCAGGCUACCUAAAUAAUAUAAUACCAACUUGUCACUGCGAUUUUCACACGUUUGUGGCUGUUAUUCCAUGUCUUGGAGGUGGGGGGAAAAAGAAAUUCAUUUCCUCCUUGGUAUCCUCCUGUAAAGUCUAGGCCGGGGCUUGGUCUUUUGAUUUCAAAUAAAAUGAAAAUGGCAAUUUAGGAAGAGAGGAAGCUGAGGGAUUUUAGAAUAUGCCGUGUAACCGUGAGGUGAGGUGGGGAAGCAUAGGACAGAUCCACACAAUGCAUUUAAAGCAUAGUCAACACAUAUUUAAAACACACGACUUACCCCAAAUAAUCAUGGUAACUCCAUUUCCCCCUUCUGGUUUCCAGCAACAAACUACACUUUCCAGGACACUUUGGGGGAAGUCAUGUGGUUUCAAUAUGUGCUUUAGUGUGCAUUUGACAAUAGCAGCUGACACAGAGAUAUGUCCAGGUAAUCUGAUAAUUGAACAUAUAUCCCUGAUUCGUUUGCAGGGAUAUUAGACAACAUUUGGCUAUUUAUUGACAAUUCAUUAUGGUUUGUGUGCUGGGAGGUUAGAUGACACUGGGUCCAAGCAAGUGUUAUCCUGCUUGGACUACUGCAAUGCGCAUGUGGAGCUACCUUUGAAGGUGAUCUGGAAACUACAACUGAUCCAGAAUGUGGCAGCUAGACUGGUAAAUAGGAAUGGCCGCCGAGACCAUGUAACACCUGUCCUGAAAGACCUACAUUGGCUCCCAGUAUGUUUCUGAGCACAAUUCGAAGUGUCGGUGCUGACCUUUAAAGUCCCAAACGGCCUUGGUCCAGUAUACCUGAAGGAGCGUCUCCACCCCCAUUGUUCAGCCUGAGGUCCAGCUCCGAGGGCCUUCUGGUGGUUACCUCCUUGCGAGGAGUGAAGCUACAGGGAACCAGGAAGAGGGCCUUCUUGGUGGCAGUGUUGAGGAUUCAUUCCCUGUGUCUGCAGUCAUGGGAUUUUUGUCUAUCACAUGACGGUGUAUGUUUUGACUCCACAGAGUGGGAAGUGACGGAGACAGGAUGUUUGUGUUACUGUGUUCCGUGACUAUUGUCCUUUGUUCAUUCUCUUUGCUGUCUGAUGCUAGAGAGAGGGGGAGCCAUGUUGCAGUGCUCCGUGUGUGUUUAUAUGUAAAUAAAGGUAGACUAGCCAAAAUGCUGAGUUGCUGAGGUCUGUUACACAAGCUGCAAAGACUCUGCAGAUCCCUAAGUUUGCCGAUGUCUGUUGGCAUCGGUCACUGUGAUGUUCAGGCAGAAGAAAGCUUUUGAAGCUCCUGAACGAUCAAAGCAGGAGGGAGGGAACAUGCCAGUCGGGCACGUGUCUCUGCCAGGGUCCUACUUGAGAGUAGGACAAGCUCCUGACAAGUGGUGCCCGCCCUGUGGAACAUCCUCCCAUCAGAUGUCAAGGAAAUAAACAACUAGCUGACAUUCUUUAUCACAUGAAGUCUUAUCUUAUCUUAUGAAGUGGGUUUGUUGUGUAAGGCCUUCCAACUCAUGAUAGCUGUGCCACCUGAAUUUGCCCUUAUGUGAUUGAAUCCCACUUGAAGCUAGUGACAGUUUAGAAGCACUCAAAGGCUGAGGGCUUCACCAGCAAUUGACAUUUUUGUCAGAGAUAGUUGAGUGCUUCCCUGCUUCAGAAGAAAUACUACUGGCUCUCUGAGAGAGGAUCUUUUUGGUGGUGACACCCAAUUCCACCAACUCCCGAAGACAACUGGUUUAAGCAAGCAUUCCCCUGAAGUGAACUUGUGGUUUUGUUUAAAAAAUUCUUUCGUUGGGUUGUUUUUAAAAUGUUUUAUUGUAUAUUUUAAUUAAAUACAUUUAAAUGUUAUUGUGUGGAUUCUUUUAAAAAAAAUGGAUUGAUUUUAUACUUGUAAACCGCUUAACAGCCAUUUUUGCAUACAAAUUGAAUUGCAGUGCAUUACAUUGGCCACAGUCUGUCUCAAGAGACAAUGGAGUGCACCUCCAGAGGUGAAGUCAAACCGCUGUUUUAUCAACACCAGAGUGACCUCCCCAGGACUCAGGCCUGGGCAGUGUGUCUGGAGGUCCUGGGCUACCCAAACGACAAGACCCUCUCCUCUCGGCCUCACUGAUGUGGCCCAAAGGAAAGCAGAGCAAUAUGUUUGGCGCCAGCUUGGUGGCAGGAGUUUAAAUGGCAUCUAAAUUAAAUAAUAAUAGAACACUGUCAUCAGACCUGCUUUGCUGGUGUGUGAAGUUAAAAGGGUGCAGUCGUCCCACUGUAAUCUUACUGAACAAACUACAGCAGAGAAAUGCUAGCUGCACCAGAAUUUAGUAAAAUGUCAAAAGAGCAGACAAAAAGCUUGCAGAUUUAAAAGCCUAUUGAAACCAGGAGGAAAGGUCUUUAAAAGAAGCCUAAAAACUAACCCUGAAGGACCUUUUAAUAUUUUUUAGCUUCAGUAAUAGGGUUAAGAUAUUUCAAAAAGGGGAAAUCUGGACACAAAACUUGUUGAGUUUUUGCUUUUGCUUUUUUGACCAACAUGGUGGAGCUUUUGCAAAAACGUGAUGAUGAUGAUGAUGAUGAUGAUGAUGAUAAUGAUAAUUGUGAAUUACAGGAAAGAAGAAUGCUGGUGCUCUCGGGUUCUCCUUGAGGCUUUCCUGCAGGAACCUGUCUGGCCACUGUGAGAACAGGAUGCUGUAAAAACAGGGCCUUCUCAGUGGAUGCUCCUAGGCUUUAGACUGCCUCCCUCCUUCCUCUCUUUCCGUUGGCAGGCUUCUGGGAAUGGACUGCUUUUAAUGAAAGGGCUGGUGCCUUGCUGUUUUGUUGUAAUUGUUUGUAUGGCUUCAGCAGAUUUUAUUUUUAAUUCUGUCAAUGUUUGAUUGUUUUUAAUGAUUGUUUUUCUUAGUUUUUAUUUUUAUCUGUAAAUUUGCUUGAAUCCCUGCCAAGGAAAAAGACAGGGUAUGAAUAAACAAAUGUAUAAUAAUAAUAAAUAAUAAUAAUAAUAAUAAUAGAUUAGAUGUACCUUUUGGGAUGAUCUAGUGGGGUUCUGCUUAUAUUCUUAAGAGAUGCAGUCAGUUUUUUGGGCACAGUGGCAUCGACUUUCACCUGGGAUGAGCAUGCGUAUGUGUGUGGGAGAGAGAACUGCAACUCAUCACUCCUGGCAGGUAAUUCCAAUGGCCUAGGUGGUGCUGUGGGUUAAACAACAGAGCCUAGGACUUGUCGAUCAGAAGGUCAGCGGCUCGAUUCCCUGCGACGGGGUGAGCUCCCGUUGCUCGGUCCCUGCUCCUGCCAACCUAGCAGUUCGAAAGCACGUCAAAGUGCAAGUAGAUAAAUAGGUACCGCUCCGGCGGGAAGCUAAACGGCGUUUCCGUGCGCUGCUCUGAUUUGCCGGAAGCUGUACGCCGGCUCCCUCGGCCAAUAAAGCGAGAUGAGCGCCACAACCCCAGAGUCGGUCACGACUGGACCUAACGGUCAGGGGUCCCUUUACCUUUUAGGAGUUCUUGUUAACUCCCCACAAUCUCCAGUUCUCAUUCUUUCCAGCUCUUGUUCUGCAACAAGCAUAGAUGGGGGCUGCCAUUGCUCCCGGGUUCUGUGAAGGAGCUUGUUGUGGAAUUCUCUGGGCAACAGCCAAAUGGGUCUUUAGCAAUGGCCUCCUGAUAAUCUGUGGUGGUGCAGUUUGGAACAACAGAGCGUCCUCCUUUGCUCUGCAUUUCUUACUUUUCAUCCUCCUUCACUGCAGACUUUUUUAUCCAAGCGCUGUUGAUCACAGUGGGGUUGGGGGGGCACCCAAAGCAUCAUCAUCUUUGCAUCCUCCAUCUCCGUCAUUAUUCACCACAUUUUGAUGCCCAUAAAACACAUUAAAAACUAUUUCCUUGAGCAAGGGAGAGGGAGAGAGAAGCAUCUCUCCGCUGUACAUAUCAUUUGUAUACUUGAAUUGUAAAAUGUAAAUUGAUAUAUAAGAAAAUGCCCCAUUAACUUUUUCAUUAAUGACAAUAAUACAUUUCGUGUCGCAACUGGAGGAGGGUCUUGCAUCCAGUUGAGAGAACCUGAAGGAUGAGUGGCAAGUGUGCCGGAACGUCGUAAAACUGAUGAUCAGUCAAUGUACUUGGAGAGAUUAAAGGAAGAAGGUGAUAUCACUUCUCUGACUUAUGUUCCUUAGAACAAGGCAUUGUGUGUAUGCUUUUGAGAGCCGGUGUGGUGUAGUGGUUAAGAGCGGUGGACUCGUAAUCUGGUGAACAGGGUUCGCUUUCCCGCUCCUCCACAUGCAGCUGCUGGGUGACCUUGGGCUAGUCACAUUUCUUUGAGGUCUCUCAGCCUCACUCACCUCACUCUUGUACUUAGUUGCUAAAAUAGGGUUCUGUGGUGGUCAUAAAGGAGUCAUAAAUUACUGAGGAAGUAUCUGAUACAGUGGUGCCUCGCAAGACGAAAUUAAUCCGUUCCGCGAGUCUCUUCGUCUUGCGGUUUUUUCGUCUUGCGAAGCACGGCUAUUAGCGGCUUAGCGGCUAUUAGCGGCUAUUAGCGGCUUAGCGGCUUAGCGGCUUAGCGGCUUUAAGAAAAAGGAAACAAACUCGCAAGAACUCGCAAGACGUUUCGUCUUGCGAAGCAAGCCCAUAGGGAAAUUCGUCUUGCGGAAUGACUCAAAAAACAGAAAACUCUUUCGUCUAGCGAGUUUUUCAUCUUGCGAGGCAUUCGUCUUGCGGGGCACCACUGUAUGUUUGAAGGGUAGUAGUUAUGAAAAGGUCCGGCUAAAAACUUGUGACAUUUCUCGGCCAAAGGUCAGCCAGCAUGGUAUAGUGGUUAGGAGCAGUGGACUCAUAAUCUGGUGAACCAGGUUCGCUUCCCCGCUCCUCCACAUGCAGCUGCUGGGUGACCUUGGGCCAGUCACACUUCUCUGAAGUCUCUCAGCCUCACUCACCUCACAGAGUGUUUGUUGUGGGGGAGGAAGGGAAAGGAGAUUGUUAGCCGCUUUGAGACUCCUUAAGAGGAGUGAAAGAUGGGA